UACAGAGGAGCCAAGCGUUGUCCGGAUUGACUGGGCGUAAAGCGCACGCAGGCGGUCUGGCGCGUGGGGUGUGAAAUCUGGCCGCUUAACGGCCAGGCGCCAUCCCAUACGGCCGGACUGGAGCCUUGCAGAGGUCGGUGGAAUUGCCGGUGUAGUGGUGAAAUGCGUAGAGAUCGGCAGGAACACCCAGGGGGAAACCAGCCGACUGGGCAAGUGCUGACGCCGAGGUGCGAGAGCGUGGGGAGCGAACCGG
rnacentral:rRNA from 1 species